rnacentral:rRNA from 1 species
AGGACGAACGCUGGCGGCGUGCUUAACACAUGCAAGUCGAGCGGAAAGGCCCUUCGGGGUACUCGAGCGGCGAACGGGUGAGUAACACGUGAGCAAUCUGCCUUUAGCUCUGGGAUAGCUCCGGGAAACCGGGAUUAAUACCGGAUAAGACCACUUUAGACAUCUGUUGUGGUGGAAAGAAUUUCGGCUAGAGAUGAGCUCGCGGCCUAUCAGCUUGUUGGUGGGGUAACGGCCCACCAAGGCGACGACGGGUA